UGGAAUGUUUUUAUUAUUUGAGGAGGAAACAUCCUACCACAAGCAACACAAACAAUUUUUAAAAUCCACUUAUGGGGUUCAGAAUAAAUAUAAAAAUUUGGAGAAUCUUCUAAAAUGUGAAAUUGAAAGAAAAGUGAUGCUCCACAUCGCAUAUAACUACUCUGACAUAGGCAACUUUUAACACAUUUCUCUCUCUACGAACAAAAGCUCUCGACUUUAUCUUCUCUGGUUGCUCCGGCAUCGGUUAUCGACGUCGGAGGCGUGCUCCUCUUCCUCUCUAUUCCUCGUUUUUGGUUUGCUAUCUGUCUCUGCUCUCUCCCUUCCACCGAUAUACAUGGAGUUCUGUCAUCGCUCGGCUUCUCAUCUUCGGUGAGGCCUCACCGCUUGUGAAGUUCGUCGUCUGGUUGGAGUUUCAGUGAGGUGCGCAAUGUGGGUUCAGGUCAGGGGGUCGGAUUUUAGGGAUUGAGGCUCGUCUGAGUUUCAUUUUCUUUUUAGAUAUCUGGCGACUCUCUAGGAUUGGUGGCGUGUGGCUUUGCUGAGAAGACUCCUCUUCCCGGAUCUGUGCGGUUCGGUGUCAAUAUUAUCUUUCUGAUCUCCGGUGGAGUGGGAUGGCGGUGCAUGAGUUAUCUUCUCUGCUUGGUGUCUUGUAGAGGAAGCUCAGCUCGUCCUCAUCCAGGAUGUUUAGUGUGAUUCACCGAUGCGUGCAAGGUGUUUCUGGUCGGCGUGUCGGUCGUUUCUCUUUGAUGGUGGCUCGUGCAAGUCAGUGCUCGGCGGCGGGGGUGAGUUGUCUAUGGCUCCGGCUAAUCCCGAGUUUCGUUGCAUCCUCUUUGUUUUUUUCUCCAGUCAUGACAUUGCGGUUUAUCUCUCGGGUUGCUUUCGUCGCGAGGUUCCAACUUCGAGCGUACGGUCCUUGCCCUCAUUCUAAAGCUUUCGCUUGUCUUCGUGAGCUUCCAGAUGUGUUCUGAAGCGGGCUGUCCUCUUGUUCUCAGAGGCUGAGCAUGGCGGGUUCUUGUCUCCGCUAUGUCUCGCGGUUGACAGGUCUCGAAGACAACAUGCUUUGGAGUUCAACUUCCCAGCGCAAUAGCUUGUCUUUUGGAAGCUCUUGUGGUUGUGUUUCUAACUGCUUUAUUUGCAGGUUCGUUUCAGCUGCUCUGUGGUAUUGCCUUCUUUCAAUUAUGUGUCUAGUCUAGAGUUUGUCUUUGUUUCUGUCUUGUUUGUACUCGUGUUGUAUGUGUUAGGUUGUUGUGUGUUUAGGUUGUCUUGUGUUUCGUUGUUGUAUUGUGUGUACCGGUCUUAACUGUUGUAGUGGGUAAAAUGGUAGGAGGAAGCGGAAACUUUGUUCUCCGUGUUCCGAUUAACCGGGACCAGCCGUGAUCACGGAUGUCGGGUCCGGGGUUAUGAUAAGCGGCAUGUCUUUGUAGUCCUUCAUUAGAGUUGGGUCCGGGAUUUAGCGAAGUAACUUGACUGUGUAUCCUUUGAAGUGUAGUGGAGCAGUCUUAGGUCGUACGGAAUUUAUCCGAGUUACUGUUUGUACGCACUACUUAUUCCCAAUCGGGAUGAUAUAUAAUUCGGUUUAAGAAAAAAACUACUCUGACAUUGGUUAAUUUCUGUAGCACGGAAAAAGAGAGAGAGAGAGCAGAAAUGCUUCAAGGCGUGGGGCUUUCGUGUGGCGACAGAAAGCUUUUAUUUUAUCAAUUCUAUCAUCGAGGAGCCCGUGGCUUUCGUUGCACUAGUUUUCCUUCAAAAUUUCUUUUUAAUUUUAUCAUUUUCAUUUACUACUUUUUUUUCCUUUUUGGGUUAGCACAUGUAACAUGUUCAACGAUUAUUUGUCCUACAAAAAAACUAACAAUUUGGUAAAUUUAGAAAGAGAACGAGAACUAACCGUAAUAAAUUCCCAAGCUAUGCCGUUCAAACUGAUUAGUCUCUUC
rnacentral:lncRNA from 1 species